UGCGUGUUCGGGAAAAGUCCUAGAUUGAGUAUCCGACAUAGGUGAUUUUCUUGAUUUUUCGUAGAUGGAGACUCAGGCUUCUAGGCAAUCAUCUGACCAUAGCAUACUGAUUAUUCAAGUGUUUGGAAUUUCAAUCUAUUUUUCAGUUAAUCUAAUUUUUUUCAUUUCAUUUCAGUUUUGUUUUUGUUUUUGUUUUUGUUUUUGUUCGUCUUCGUGUUUUUGUGUUUCUGUGUUGUGUUUUUGUGUUUUUGUGUUUUUCUUUUUUCUUUCUGGCUUUUUGGCUUUUUCCCUUGUUUUAUGUUGUGUUGUUCAUGAUCAACGAAUGAAGUUUCCUGCUAAAGAUACAUAUCAACUGUUAACCUUUGGAGAGUGGGACUACAUUUGAAUUUUCAGUUGCUUCCUUACAGCCAAUGUGGUUGAAACUGUAGUGUUCAUGUGGAGUACAUCACUUUUCAACAUACACAAUCUCAUAGAUUUUUUAUAAAAAAAAAUUUAAGCUUUACAUUAAUGUUUUUGUUUUAGUGACUCAGAUGGAGGAUGGAUAUUGUUACAUAGCAGUAUCUGUGUGUUCCUUAUUCUUUGUUUGAGACUGGUGCACAUAGCGCAAGACAUGAUAAUCUUGUCAAAGUGUCUGCGUGUUUAUUUUUUCAUUUGUUCUUUGGAUUUUAUAUUCCCUCAGAUUUGUUGAGUUGAAACACGUUGUGUCACCUUCAAUUCUUCAACGUUUCUGAUAUGCUACAAGUAGUUGAUGUAGAGUACUUGAAUAUUCACCUGCGUUAUUUUUUUGGAUUUGUCAGGCUCAGAGAUGGGUGCGAACAGCCCUGCAGAGGGCGAGCUGGAUCACGUUUCAGGUGAAAAUGCUGUCAAAGAUGUGUUCCAGGAAAAGGGGAAAGAGGUGGAGAAGGAUGUGCACCCGCUAGCAGCAUUUCUUGCAUUGCAUGGGAUUGAUGGUGCGGAAGAUGAUGAUGAGAUGGAAUCAGAAGAUGAAGAAUGGCAACCUCAUGUGCGUUGGAUUUGUACAAACUGCAUCAUGCCGAAUCCUGAGGAUGAGGUCUACUGCUGGAAGUGUAAUGAACAUCGCAAUUCAAGUAUUUUGGAGCAAGGGUUUAUGUCUGUUUCAUCCGAGCCAAAAGGUAUGGCAUACAUGUCUUCAGAUGUUUGGUUGCUCCGGAUGUAUUUCCCUGCCACGCAUUUUCGUGAGACCUGUAGCAGUGUUACGUACACGAAAUAAAUCAGUCUUUCUGAGUGAAUUCUCUAAAAUUCAGACGUGGGUAAUGCGACAUAAUUUUUUAAAGCCUCAAGUUCUUGUCUGGGGGUGGUUUUAUACCAUAGCUCAGGAGCAGCAUCUCCAUAUGACCUUAAGUCUCUUCUGCUCGCCAGUGGCUAUUCAGCGUCACCACUGAAAGUAGAACAUGUUAUCCACAUGAGCAGCUCGAAUUUUGGGUAGGUAUGGAGGCUCAUGAUAUACCUUGGGUGCUCCUCCUCGCUGGGUAUGGCAGGCGUUGAUGGGAGUGCGAAACCUGUGGCAAAGAAAGAGAUAUGUCCUUCACAAAUGCUAUCAAAAAACUUGACAUUUUCUGGUAAAUUGAAGAUUGCUGUCUUCCUUCCUGAUUUCUUCAUGUUACUUUGAACUCUGGCAUCCAGGGAUAUCAUAUCAAUGAAUGAUUCUUUUGUUCUGGUGGUGAUCUCUGUGUUCUCAGCAAAGUUCAUCUCAAUUCCAUGAUUUACCUUCGUAGUUGACAUCCUUUCAUCAGAAUCACAAAUCUGUAUAUCUUUGACAGUUGAUAUCAUUAAUUCUCUUCUUCAACGAUGCAGGGACUUUCAUGUGUGGUAAAGAAAAAAAGACCGCUAUUGGUUACGAUGAUAGAAUGUUGUUACAUGAAGAAACUGGAAAAUCACAUCCUGAGCGUCCAGAUAGGUUACGAGCUAUCAUGGGAGGCCUGCAAGCUUCUGGCUUGCUUUCCGGAACUUGCUUUACGAUACCCGCCAGAGAAGCCACUCAAGCAGAGUUGGAACUUGUUCAUACUGCCAAUCAUAUAGGUGCAGUGCAAGCCACAGAAGGACAGGACUUAAGUUACUUCACCCCUGACACGUAUGCCAAUGAGCACUCUGCUUUAGCGGCACGAUUAGCAGCCGGAAUUUGCACAGAUUUAGCAUCAGCUAUCAUGACUGGAAAGGCCCACAAUGGUUUCGCAGCAGUUAGGCCACCUGGGCAUCAUGCUGAACAAGAACAAGUCAUGGGCUUUUGCUUGCAUAACAAUGCAUGCGUCGCUGCUCGAGCUGCACAGGCUGCUGGGGCGAAGAAGGUUUUAAUUGUUGAUUGGGAUGUACAUCAUGGGAAUGGGACACAAGAGAUUUUUGAACAAGAUCCAACAGUGCUGUAUAUUUCUCUUCAUCGGUGAGGCUGUUUUUCCCGAACUUCACUGUUUCACUGUUUCACAGUUUCACAGUUUUGUUACCAGGAUGUCCAUUUCUGUUGCAUUCUUUAAUUUGUCGACUCACUAGGUCAACAUGCACAACAGGCACGAAGCUGGUGCGUUCUAUCCUGGAACGGGUUGGGCACAUCAAGUGGGGAGUGGCCCUGGUGAAGGGUUUUGUGUUAACAUACCAUGGAGUUGUGGUGGAAUUGGGGACGGAGAUUACCUGUCAGCAUUUCAACAUGUGGUCAUGCCAAUUGCUCGUCAAUUCGAACCUGAUAUGACAAUCAUCUCAGCUGGUUUUGAUGCUGCAAGGGGGGAUCCUCUUGGAGGUUGUGAUGUAACUCCUGAGGGCUAUGCACAAAUGACCUUUCUCUUAAGCUCUCUGUCAGGUGGUCGGAUCCUUGUUGUUUUGGAAGGAGGUUAUAAUUUGCGGUCUAUUUCUGCCUCUGCUGCUGCUGUUAUGAAGGUAAUAAGCAUAUCGACGUGUGUGAACUGUUGUAUAUGUGAACAGGUUUAUUGAUGGCUCUAGUUGCCUCAGCGAUUUAUGCUCAAUUAUCGGCUUGAUUUUUCACAUGUGGGAAUGUGGUUUUAUUUGAAUAUGUUAUUGAUCAUCUCAUCGACGAGCAUGUAGUUGUAUUCAAUGUCAGACAGACCUCCUUUCUACUUGCACGGUUUGCUUUUUUUCAAAUGAAAUCUAGUGCUUACAAUUAAGUUUUUCGUAUCUCUAAGUACAGAAGCUUCGUGGUUAAUUAUGUGUUAUGCUUUGGGUAACUCGGAUCGGGACAUUACCGGUAAAUUCAAUGUUGACUAAGCUGUUGAAAUAUGACAAAUUGCUGACAUGCCUGGUGUCCGUUAUACAGGUUCUACAAGGUACAAACCCUGGUCCAUUGCCAGAUGAUCUCCAGCCAACUCCUGUGGGGGCAGCAGCCAUGUUGGAGUUGUUUAUGAUUCAACGACGCUACUGGUCAAACUUACAUGAUGCGACUUUUUUGAAGUUUGGUGCUCUUUUGGACAGUUGGUCCAAAGCUGGUGAGAGGAAGAGCUCCAAAAGGCGACACAUUGGAGGGCCAAUUUGGUGGAAAUGGGGUCGGAAAAGGGUAUUGUAUGACAUCUGGUUAAGAGGCCAGAUGAAGCAUCACUCUAGUUCAAGGCAUGAUCACUCAUGUCCUUGUUGUUAGUCAGGACUACUCAGCAUCUUAGAAUAGAUGAAACGGACAUAAUUUUGGAACUUGUCUAUUAAUUUUGUGACGUCAAGUGUUGUUAGUCCUUUUUUUAUCCAGUCAAACAGAGGAAGUAUUCUUGGCCGGUGACUGCGUAUUCAGUCUCGUGUCAUAUUAGUAUUGUUUAUUUUAUUUUAUUUUUGACGUUUUGGUCGGAGCGACACGAAGGUGUUU
rnacentral:lncRNA from 1 species